GUUGCACAGGGCCUGCAAAGAGGGUGGAGAGUGGCCAGGAGCCAGCCCAGAGCUCCCCAGGCCCCUGUGCAGCUUUGGCCUUGUCCACUGACAUCUCGCUCCCACAGCCUUAACUGACCCCCCUGCAGUGCCCAGUACUCUAAGGCAGAGGGGGAUCCCAGAACACCAUGGAAAUGGUUCUGAUGAUUGUUCCCUUCUAGAUUGGGAUACUGACAUGGAUAAUCUGGAUGCCCUAUCAGAUGAUGGCUUGAAACCCCUGGAGGAUGCUGGAGGUCUUCCUAGAUGGAAGAACCAAGACGCAGGAGACAGCAAGUCGCUGGAGGCAGCCAAGCUUCUGGACAAGAUGCUGAGUGACCUGGAGAGACGUCGUGAGAUGAAACCAAAGGCUGUGCUGAAGACUGAGUUUCCCGGAGGAAGCAGUGGCUCCAUGGCAGCCUCUGCUGCAGGAUGGGAGGCGAUGCCAGGCACAGGCCCAGGAGGUGAGGGUGCUGGGAUAGCUUUUCCAGCAGCUGGGAUGGAAGAUGGUUUGGAACCCUUGGGAACCUCUGCAGGUGUGUCUGCAGGGAGGACUUUUCAAGCUCCAGGUCUGGUUGCUGCACACAAGCCCAGCUCCCAUGGCAGGGGUCCUCUGAGAGGGAGGAAAAAACCUACAAAACAGGGUAAGUCCCUGGAGGAAUCCAAACAAGCAGACCAAAUCUUGACUGAACUGGAGAGACAACGUGGUGGGUGCAUUUCCCUCAGUCUUCCCCUGGGACUCAGCAGCCGGGGGCUUUGGCUGCACAUCUGGACACGCCGUGCCCGGCACAGUGGGAAGGGAUCCAUGGCAGCCUCGCUGCCCCAUGCUGCUGCUGCUGCUGCUUUGAUGCCCUGCAGGGCUGUUUCCCAGCCUGGCCUGGCUGCAGCAUCUGCCCAGCCUCUGCAGGAAGGCAUUUGGCAUCAGCUGACAGGCUGCCCAAACUGCACCAAAGGGCAUGCACACCCUGAGAUCCCCUGCAAUUUCCUGGUCUCUGGGUAGAUCCGGAGAAGCAACUAUUUGGAGAUGGAGCAGCCCCAAGGGCCUUGGCCUUUCCCUGAUACUUAUCCACAUCUUUGACAAGUGCAGUUUCCUGAAGAUGCCACCACCCUAAUGGGGAAUGGUUCCACCAGAUCCAGCUGUCCUUUUUCCUUUCUCCAGAUGUGGACCGAAAACAUUUGCGGAAGGCAGAACUUCCUGGAGGAAGUGAUGGCCCAGUGCCAGCCACCGAUGCACAAAGGGAGGAGAUGCCAGACAGUGCCACAGAAGAUAUUAUCAAUGAAACAGGAAUAUAUGCCCCGGAUCCAGUGC